rnacentral:lncRNA from 1 species
UCUUUGCAUCACCAUCGCACCACCACACCACCUAUUGAGAAUGCCUUUCAUCCUCGUUCAAUUGCCCCUUCAACAACACGUAUGGAUGUUAGGUUCAAGAUGAUUUAUUGUAAUGAGUUUGCUUUACUCGCAGGCCAUGACUCAACAGACGCUCUCAUUUCUUUCCGGUGAACGCCAUGGUUUGGAGGGCGUGGAUUUAUGGAGGUGAACGAAUUUGGUGUGGAGUGAAUACAUGUUUAGGGAUUAGAAGAUAAUACAUGAUAUUCAAAGUUCAAACAAAACAUUAUCAGAGAUCUUCGUGUCCGGUAGGAUUGCUCCGCCCUUAGUGGUGUCUCUUCCAUCAGGAGAACUGCUUCUAGGGAAGAUUAGAAGGUGUUUUGCAGGGGAUGGAGAUGAACCAGUAUGGUUAGUAGGUCAGGUUUUCCUUUACUUGUGCAUUUUGUGGCCCGAGCUAGAUAAGUCUUAAUUAGUGGGGUAACAUCUACCAGUCUUUUUAUGCUUACUUUUCUUUAAGUGCUAGUUUUUAUGCAACAAGAU